rnacentral:rRNA from 1 species
ACGGGUGCGGAACACGUACGCAACCUUCCCAAAACUGGGGGAUAGCUUUCGGAAACGAAAAUUAAUACCCCGUAACACAAUGAGAUGGCAUCAUUUUAUUGUUAUAGUUCCGACGGUUUUGGAUGGGCGUGCGGCUGAUUAGGUAGUUGGCGGGGUAAUAGCCCACCAAGCCUACGAUCAGUAACUGGUGUGAGAGCACGACCAGUCACACGGGCACUGAGACACGGGCCCGACUCCUACGGGAGGCAGCAGUAAGGAAUAUUGGUCAAUGGACGCAAGUCUGAACCAGCCAUGCCGCGUGGAGGAUGAAGGUCCUCUGGAUUGUAAACUUCUUUUAUCGGAGAAGAAACCCCGGAAUUCUUUCUGGGUUGACGGUACCCGAUGAAUAAGCACCGGCUAACUCCGUGCCAGCAGCCGCGGUAAUACGGAGGGUGCAAGCGUUAUCCGGAUUCACUGGGUUUAAAGGGUGCGUAGGCGGGUUGGUAAGUCAGUGGUGAAAUCUUCAAGCUUAACUUGGAAACUGCCGUUGAUACUAUCAAUCUUGAAUAUUGUGGAGGUAAGCGGAAUAUGUCAUGUAGC